rnacentral:tRNA from 1 species
GGUUAUUUAGUUUAUUUAAAACAAAUGUUUUGAAAACAUUUAAAGGAAGUUUUUUCCAAUAACCA